AUCUGUGAUGCUUGCCUUGACAGCACAUAGAUGAACUAAAAAAUUGGGACAAUACAGAGAAGAUUAACAUGGCCUCUGUGUAAGAAUGAUAAACAAUUUGCUGAAACAUUCCACAUUUUA
ensembl:snRNA U6 U6 spliceosomal RNA